CGCCGAGCGGCCGAGAAACAAGAUGGCGGCAGGGCCGUGAGGCGUCGGGGCGGAGGCUCCGCCCUUUUUUGUCCCCCCCCCCCUUCCCCUCCUCGGGCUGGGCCGCGGCGGCGCGCGCGGGCGCGUGACCCAGCAGGGAUCUCGCGAGAUUUGCGGGGAGGCGGGAACGUGAGGGACCGGGACGUGCCGUGAGGGACCGGGACAGUCUGGGAGUGGUCUGAGGGGUGACCGUGCCUUGAGGGGCUGCCAAAUUCUGUCUCUGGCAUAGAUCUGCCCUGUCCUAAACCCCCGCGUGUCCACCUCUAGGCCUCUUGUGGGGAACCUUCCAAUGUUUUUCUUGCUUUAUAAAUAAAAAGCAGAAAUGCUGCGAUAUUUUUCAAGUUUGCUUCUCUGUCAAGUAUCCUCGUAAUAAAUUGUGUGGUAAAUAAAUCCGUUAGAGAUGCUGGAUAAAAAUGCUUAGGGUAUGAUGAGUUGAAAUGUACUUUUCUCCACACCGGGAUUUGGCAAUUUCUGGGAACUUUUUUAAUAGGAGUUCGUUUGAAGUGCAAUUUAAACACAUGCAGUGUUCCUGAGUUGACUCACUCCCAGAGUCCCAUUAUGUAGCUCAACUAUAUCUGCCCACAAAAGAAGAAAAAGAACUGUUUUACAUAUCUGGGAGACCACAGAGUUCUGAUUGUUCACAUUGUGGGAGAAAAAUAUUCCUGAAAUUGAUUUAAAUAGAUAAAGGAAUAAAAGAUCCUUUUUUUUCUCAGAGUGGAGACUGGAAGCAGCUGAUAAUCAGAAGAAAAACCCAAGAGCAGCCCUAAAGGAAGGGGAAGCAAAGGCUGCCUUGACAUUCCCCUCAAACCCAUCAGUUCUGGAACAACAUCCAACGGGAGUAACGAGGAAAAAUAGGAAAAGGAUCCCAUCCCAAAGAUUCUCCAGGUGCCUGCCUGGAUCCUCCAAGAUCCCUUCCCCAUGUGACAGUUUCAUCCUGUGGAUCCUCACAAUUCCAUGGAGGAACCUAAGGAAUUUAUUCCCACCCCUGGAUGGAUUUCUGUUAUUAUCCAUGCACCGAGGACGACGAUCCAUCCCCACAAUUCCCUGGAAAACGCCCCAUUUAUUAAUUAAUUACCGAGCACUGUUGCUCCUGCUGCCAGGCCCAGCUGUCCCAGCACCCAGCUUGGAUGCAGCUCCUCUCCAGGGAUUUCUGGACAAUCCCCCCUUGCUCCUCCUCCCGCCGGAUCCUUUUGUGCGGCUCCGUUUCCUCCCCACCUGCUCCCUUUUCCAGCCGCAAUGGAUCCAUUGUCUGGAGCUGCUCGGCUUUUCCCACAGGGAUUGCAGCUCCACAGAGCUCCCUGUCAGCCUGCCCGGAACGUGGAGGAGCCAAGGAAAACAUGAAACAGGGAAGGGAAGAAAAAAAAAAGGAAAGGAGAAAGUGCUUUUACAGGAAUUUGGUGGUGCUUUGAUGAGUUUGGACUUACCCAGCACCUUGCAACUGCUCAUCCCAAACCUCCCAUGCUUCCCAGUGCACCCCAGACCUAGAUUUGGGAGCCAAGGAUUCGUCUGGCACCAAGGAAAAUCAGCUCAGAGCAGCAGAGACAAGGCUGACCCUUCCCAGCUCAGCCCCUGCCAUCCCCUGGGAUUCCUGUUUCAGCAGGACUCUGGAUUUAUCCCAAACCAGCUGUUGCUUUGGGGCAAUAAUCCACAGGCACGGGAAAACCUGGAUAUAAAUUCUUUCUGGACAUGGACACACUUGCUUUAUGGAUCUGCAGGAAAAAGAGGCCAUUUAGGGCCAGAUUUUGGGGCCUGACCCUUUGUGCCACAUCCCACCUGGUGCCUCUCCUAGCUGGGAUGAUCCAUAUGGUAUUAAAGGAUAUCUAAGGAUAUUUAGGAAUAUGUCUAUGCCUGGACACUGAUUUGUUUAAACCUUCUGCUUUGAAAUUAAACCCCUGGGAAUAUAUUUUGACCUUUGGGUGUUCCCAAAGGAUUCCUUGAGGGCCCACAAUUCCUGAGGGAUGAUCCAGGAUCAACUGUGGGCUUGUGGGUCCCCUUUUGUGCUCAGGUUUGAACCUGUGUGCCAGGAAAUUUUACUUUUUCUGAUCCAGAUGGGAAUUCCCAAGGGAAUCCUGGUCUCCCUCAUUUUCCCAGCCCUCAUUUCCUAAGGAAGAGCUGACAGAAAUCAGGAAAACCCCACAAAACUUUAGGAUCAGCACUGGGAGCUGAGGUGCUCAGCCUGGUGAUGACUGGGAGGCCUCAUUCCCAAUAUUCCCACU